UACGUAGGGGGCGAGCGUUAUCCGGAAUUACUGGGCGUAAAGCGCACGCAGGCGGUUCGCCAAGUUUGGAGUGACAGUUGUCGGCUCAACCGACAAAGGACUUCAAAAACUGGUGAACUUGAGGUCGAGAGAGGAACAUGGAACUCCAGGUGUAGUAGUGAAAUGCGUAGAUAUCUGGAAGAACACCAAUGGCGAAGGCAAUGUUCUGGCUCGUUUCUGACGCUCAGGUGCGAAAGCCAGGGGAGCGAACGGG
rnacentral:rRNA from 1 species